GGCGCUGUACCCAAGAGGAAAGGGAAAGGUCGGCAAAACCUUGUUCAGUGGUUCGAAUCCAUUCGGCGCCU
rnacentral:tRNA from 1 species